UGCCACUUGAUAAAAAUAUAAGUGGUACAUCCUGCCCAGUGACAAAGUUCAACGGCCGCGGUAUCCUGACCGUGCAAAGGUAGCAUAAUCAUUUGCCUAUUAAUUGUAGGCUAGUAUGAAAGGACAAACGAGAAUUUCGCUGUCUCCUUUAAGUAACUAAAAAUUUAUCUCCAAGUGAAGAAGCUUAGAUACCCUCGCAGGACAAGAAGACCCUAUAGAGCUUUACCACACUACUUAAUAUAAAAGUAUACAUGGUUCGGUUGGGGCGACCAAGGAAUACAAAACAUCCUUAAUUAAAGAGAUCAACAAAUCACAAUAAAGAUCCUUAUUUAAGAUCAAAGAAUCAAGCUACCUUAGGGAUAACAGGCUAAUUCCUCUAGAGAGCCCGUAUUGACAGAGGAGGUUGGCACCUCGAUGUUGGCUUAGGAUUUCUCUAUGACGCAGCAGUCAUAUAAAGAUGGUUUGUUCAACCAUUAAAUUCCU
rnacentral:rRNA from 1 species